CGUGCGUUUUCUCAGCAAACUUAUUUAGCUUUGGCACUCCGAGUUCUUUUGCCUCCUCCCUCUUUUCUCGCCAGUGAAUCACAGAACGGGUGUCUCCAGCCAAAAGCCUGGAGAGGAAGAGUUAUGCAUUUCUCCUUCAAGAACCGCGAAGCCAGUCUGCAUUCCUGCAUUAAAGAAGCCAGUGUUUCCCAUCCAGUAAUUCAGGGAGCUUCAUCAUUUUUUUCCUUCUUUCUUUUUUACCAUGUGGAGUAAAACCAUUGUAAAAACUUG